rnacentral:rRNA from 1 species
GACGAACGCUGGCGGCGUGCUUAACACAUGCAAGUCGAACGGAAAGGCCCUGCUUUUGUGGGGUGCUCGAGUGGCGAACGGGUGAGUAACACGUGAGUAACCUGCCCUUGACUUUGGGAUAACUUCAGGAAACUGGGGCUAAUACCGGAUAGGAGCUCCUGCUGCAUGGUGGGGGUUGGAAAGUUUCGGCGGUUGGGGAUGGACUCGCGGCUUAUCAGCUUGUUGGUGGGGUAGUGGCUUACCAAGGCUUUGACGGGUAGCCGGCCUGAGAGGGUGACCGGCCACAUUGGGACUGAGAUACGGCGCAGACUCCUACGGGAGGCAGCAGUGGGGAAUAUUGCACAAUGGGCGGAGGCCUGAUGCAGCAACGCCGCGUGCGGGAUGACGGCCUUCGGGUUGUAAACCGCUUUCGCCUGUGACGAAGCGUGAGUGACGGUAAUGGGUAAAGAAGCACCGGCUAACUACGUG